GCCGGUUCAUACAGAUGCUCCGCUGAGCUCAGAACUAGCAGCCGAGUCUCGCUGGGAGCGCGGCUCGUUUCUCCCCGUGUCCGGUCCCCGCGAUCCCGGCCCGGCCCCGCACGUGCCGCCCGGCUGGAGCCCGCGGGACGCUCGGAACCUCAUCGUAAUGGCAAGAAAUGUAACUACAAGAAAGCUACAGUUGUGCUCACAGUUGUGUCCUUAUGUCUCCUCAUCACUGUUAUUGUCCUGACAGGUGAGUUCUCAGCCCUCCCUUGCCCCUCUCUGCACAUCCCAUUCCCCCUGGAGCCACCACAGUCACAGUCUCUCCUCCUGACCUGUCUGUCUUCUGCCUCUGGGACAGAGGGUUCCUGGGGGAUGUUCCUCCACAAUCCUCCUCCCUCCCAGACCCCUGCACCUGGGCGCUCUCUGUGUCGGACGAUCUGACUGACAUUAGCUCGCCCCAAGCCAGCUCUGAGCCCUUGGGGCCCAAGUCACUAUUGCCGGGCCCCAGGGAUGGUCACUGAUACGCCCCGUGCAGAGUGGGGGUGAUUGACAGAAGGUGCAGGGCAGCAAUGAGCUGGACCCUCUGCCUGCAGCGUGUCACCCUGAGGUACCAGCCUGGCCUUCCUGCAUCCGCGGGUCAUGCCCAGGGCCGGGCUGGCAGAUGCUGCAGCGCUACUGAAAUGAGCUGUAGAACUCAGCACAGACACUGCCAUUAACACCGUGUGUGUUGUACUUAAAGUACUGUACAGGAUCUUUUCAGGAGGAAUAAGGCAAAAUGCCACAUUUAUUAGUAACACACGUAUUAAUUAACACUAUCAUAUGCAUAUGAUAUAUAACUUAGAUAAUGUUUUCACCCCUCUAGCCAGAAGGCCCUAGUGUACAUUCACACUCACACACACACACAAGCACACUCUGUCUUGUUGUUGUUACCAACUAGUUGCUCCCCCUGACUGAACUGGCUAGGUGAGUUAGAUGGGGGAAGGUGUGGGAUUGAUGCUCUGAUGUUGACAAGAUGAGACCCAGGGUCCUCUGCAGGACACCUCACAUUUAUAGCAGCUUCCCUCUCAUUCAAAUCUGUGUCUGUGUCCACUGAUCCUUUGUCCUGCUUUCUUCUGGGUGUUGUCCCAAUGCUGCAAAGAGGAUGUUUCCAAAAGAAGGCGCUGGCUUCUAACCCUAGAGGCCCUCAGUAUGUCUGCUUGUCUUUAAUGAGCCCACUUGACACGUUUUAUUGUUCUUGGGUCUGGCUCCCAGCCCCUUUCCAAUGGUUGAGGCUGUCUGGAGGUGCUGCUUUCCACACCUUGCUCAUCCAC
rnacentral:lncRNA from 1 species